rnacentral:piRNA from 1 species
UGUGGUUUUCACAAGUGUUGUUUUGAG